rnacentral:tRNA from 1 species
AAGUAGUUAGUUAACUUAUAACCUUAGCUUGUCACGCUAAAAUAAUCUUUUAGAGAUACUCCUUA